rnacentral:rRNA from 2 species
AACAAGGUCUCCGUAGGUGAACCUGCGGAGGGAUCAUUACAAGAACGCCCGGGCUUCGGCCUGGUUAUUCAUAACCCUUUGUUGUCCGACUCUGUUGCCUCCGGGGCGACCCUGCCUUCGGGCGGGGGCUCCGGGUGGACACUUCAAACUCUUGCGUAACUUUGCAGUCUGAGUAAACUUAAUUAAUAAAUUAAAACUUUUAACAACGGAUCUCUUGGUUCUGGCAUCGAUGAAGAACGCAGCGAAAUGCGAUAAGUAAUGUGAAUUGCAGAAUUCAGUGAAUCAUCGAAUCUUUGAACGCACAUUGCGCCCCCUGGUAUUCCGGGGGGCAUGCCUGUUCGAGCGUCAUUUCACCACUCAAGCCUCGCUUGGUAUUGGGCAACGCGGUCCGCCGCGUGCCUCAAAUCGUCCGGCUGGGUCUUCUGUCCCCUAAGCGUUGUGGAAACUAUUCGCUAAAGGGUGUUCGGGAGGCUACGCCGUAAAACAACCCCAUUUCUAAGGUUGACCUCGGAUCAGGUAGGGAUACCCGCUGAACUUAAGCAUA